AUGAACGCUAGCUACAGGCUUAACACAUGCAAGUCGAGGGGCAGCGGGAUUGAAGCUUGCUUCAAUUGCCGGCGACCGGCGCACGGGUGAGUAACGCGUAUCCAACCUUCCGCUUACUCGGGGAUAGCCUUUCGAAAGAAAGAUUAAUACCCGAUGGUAUCUUAAGCACGCAUGAGAUUAAGAUUAAAGAUUUAUCGGUAAGCGAUGGGGAUGCGUUCCAUUAGGCAGUUGGCGGGGUAACGGCCCACCAAACCUACGAUGGAUAGGGGUUCUGAGAGGAAGGUCCCCCACAUUGGAACUGAGACACGGUCCAAACUCCUACGGGAGGCAGCAGUGAGGAAUAUUGGUCAAUGGGCGAGAGCCUGAACCAGCCAAGUAGCGUGAAGGAUGACGGCCCUACGGGUUGUAAACUUCUUUUGUGCGGGAAUAAAGGAACCUACGUGUAGGUUUUUGCAUGUACCGUAACGAAUAAGCAUCGGCUAACUCCGUGCCAGCAGCCGCGGUAAUACGGAGGAUGCGAGCGUUAUCCGGAUUUAUUGGGUUUAAAGGGAGCGUAGACGGGUUUUUAAGUCAGCUGUGAAAGUUUGGGGCUCAACCUUAAAAUUGCAGUUGAAACUGGAGACCUUGAGUACGGUUGAGGCAGGCGGAAUUCGUGGUGUAGCGGUGAAAUGCUUAGAUAUCACGAAGAACCCCGAUUGCGAAGGCAGCCUGCUAAGCCGCCACUGACGUUGAGGCUCGAAAGUGCGGGUAUCAAACAGGAUUAGAUACCCUGGUAGUCCGCACGGUAAACGAUGGAUACUCGCUGUUGGCGAUAGACAGUCAGCGGCCAAGCGAAAGCGUUAAGUAUCCCACCUGGGGAGUACGCCGGCAACGGUGAAACUCAAAGGAAUUGACGGGGGCCCGCACAAGCAGUGGAGUAUGUGGUUUAAUUCGACGCAACGCGAAGAACCUUACCAAGUCUUGACAUCCUGCGACGCACAUAGAAAUAUGUGUUUCCUUCGGGACGCAGAGACAGGUGGUGCAUGGUUGUCGUCAGCUCGUGCCGUGAGGUGUCGGCUUAAGUGCCAUAACGAGCGCAACCCUUGCUGCCAGUUACUAACAGGUCAUGCUGAGGACUCUGGCAGGACUGCCAUCGUAAGAUGCGAGGAAGGUGGGGAUGACGUCAAAUCAGCACGGCCCUUACGUCCGGGGCUACACACGUGUUACAAUGGGGAGUACAGAGGGCAGCUACCGGGCGACCGGAUGCGAAUCCCGAAAGCUCCUCUCAGUUCGGACUGGAGUCUGCAACCCGACUCCACGAAGCUGGAUUCGCUAGUAAUCGCGCAUCAGCCACGGCGCGGUGAAUACGUUCCCGGGCCUUGUACACACCGCCCGUCACACCACGAGAGUUUGUAACACCCGAAGUCGGUGAGGUAACCUUUUGGAGCCAGCCGCCUAAGGUGGGAUAGAUGAUUGGGGUG
rnacentral:rRNA from 1 species